rnacentral:rRNA from 1 species
UACGUAGGGGGCAAGCGUUGUCCGGAAUCAUUGGGCGUAAAGCGCGUGUAGGCGGCUCGAUAAGUCUGCUGUGAAAGUCCAGGGCUCAACCCUGGGAUGCCGGUGGAUACUGUCGGGCUCGAGUCCGGAAGAGGCGAGUGGAAUUCCUGGUGUAGCGGUGAAAUGCGCAGAUAUCAGGAGGAACACCUAUAGCGAAGGCAGCUUGCUGGGACGACACUGACGCUGAGGCGCGAAAGCGUGGGGAGCGAACAGG